rnacentral:rRNA from 1 species
GACGAACGCUGGCGGCGUGCUUAACACAUGCAAGUCGAACGGAAAGGCCCUGCUCUUGUGGGGUGCUCGAGUGGCGAACGGGUGAGUAACACGUGAGUAACCUGCCCUUGACUUUGGGAUAACUUCAGGAAACUGGGGCUAAUACCGGAUAGGAGCUCCUGCUGCAUGGUGGGGGUUGGAAAGUUUCGGCGGUUGGGGAUGGACUCGCGGCUUAUCAGCUUGUUGGUGGGGUAGUGGCUUACCAAGGCUUUGACGGGUAGCCGUCCUGAGAGGGUGACCGGCCACAUUGGGACUGAGAUACGGCCCAGACUCCUACGGGAGGCAGCAGUGGGGAAUAUUGCACAAUGGGCGGAAGCCUGAUGCAGCAACGCCGCGUGCGGGAUGACGGCCUUCGGGUUGUAAACCGCUUUCGCCUGUGACGAAGCGUGAGUGACGGUAAUGGGUAAAGAAGCACCGGCUAACUACGUG